UAAUACGUAGGUGGCGAGCGUUAUCCGGAAUUACUGGGUGUAAAGGGUGCGUAGGCGGUAUGUGAAGUCAGAUGUGAAAUGCCGUGGCUUAACCACGGAGCUGCAUUUGAAACUCACAUACUUGAGUGAAGUAGAGGUAAGCGGAAUUCCUAGUGUAGCGGUGAAAUGCGUAGAUAUUAGGAGGAACACCAGUGGCGAAGGCGGCUUACUGGGCUUUAACUGACGCUGAGGCACGAAAGCAUGGGGAGCAAACAGG
rnacentral:rRNA from 1 species